GGGCUUGACAGGUUUCGACGGGGAAUUUUAAGCCAAAGAAGCUAUCCGCACGGGAUGCGUUAAAUUCCAAAUUAAAUAUAAUCGCUGAAGAUAAUUUAGCAUUCGCUGCCUAAGGGCGGCGUGUCCUCCCUAGUGCACCUACACAUUAGGAUCAGGGCAUCAGUCUUGUAGGAAACGCUUUUGCAAAGCUUUGAGCAAAAGGCAGUUUUAUGAAGCUACUAAAGCCGUAUCCGGUGUCUUUGACGAAUCGGUGGAGGGAAUGUCAAUCCAGAGACUAUGAUAGUAGAAGAGUGGUAGCGAAUUUUUCGGACGGGGGUUCGAAUCCCCCCAGGUCCACUA
rnacentral:tmRNA from 1 species